AUGGUGUCCCACAAGUAUCUGCUGCCUGGUUUUGCUCUUUGCUUCUUAGUAGAUGAGCUGUAUGCAUUCCUGCUACCAGACAGACUGCGGUUGGCCAGAAACACUCACAGACUCAGCCGGGACGUGUCUCCUCACCUCUCUGAACUCACUGACCUGGCUGAGUUCAUGCCAGACAAUGGUGGUGAAAUGACACAGGACUGGGACCCCAAACCUGCGAAAUCCUUCACUGCCCACACUUCACCUGUAGAACACAUUCCACCACCCCCGAAACCUCAACACCGCAACAACAAAGACAAGAGCAGGGCGAGGGUUACUGUUCCCCUUGACCGCAUUGGUAACUCCUACCUGUCCAGCAGAAACAGAAAGGAGGAACCUGAGGAAAACCUGGCCUAUUUUAACGAGUGAUUAACUACUGACGUCCAUACAUCAACUGGAUUUACAGACGCAGACAAAGCCUAGUCUUGAACUAACUAACAGCACCAGUGGGAAUUUUCAGUUAAAAAGUCUUUAAGUGCCUAUUAGGCUAAACUUGUAUCCAGAAAACAAACUGUAUGUAGCAUUGCGAGUGUGUAUUUUGUGAGUGUUUUAACCUGUUAUUUUGUUGUAUGCAUCAUUGUCUUAUUUAUUACUAUUUAAUAUCGCCCUCUAGUGGUCGGCAAACUGACAGACACUUGUGUACUCGUGUGCCCAUGCUAAAUAAAGAGUUUUUGAAAGCAGAACA
rnacentral:lncRNA from 1 species